UACUGCCAUAUCAAGUUGAAACACCGGUGAACGUACGAGAACCGACGUUAAGCAACGUCGAGCCUGGUCAGUACCUAGAUGGGUAACCACUUGGAAAUACCAGGUGCUGGAA